CAGCUCUAAUCGUUUCCUUAGUGAUACAAAAUCCUUUUCACCACCAUAACCAAGAGAGAGUGUUAGGUAAAAUGAGCUGCCUUGCAACUCCAGCUUCAACCAAAUCCAACAGCCACCCCAAGAAAGGAAAUCAGGACUAUCUCCGCAAGUUAAGAUCAGAGCAAGAAAUUCAAGUAAAGGAAAUUAAGCGAACAAGGUUGAACGUCAAGAGGAUGGAAUGAUGAUCGGAGUCGAUGCAAUUAAAUAAUCAAGUGGAUCUUCCAACGAUUCGUGUCUUCGUACACGAAGUCGUUUAGUAAGGACUUAUUCCGCUGUGCUUUUGUGAAGUGAGAAUUGUAGAAUCUCACCAUCAACUCGGAUUUAUUUGAGAAUAUGUUUAUUCUAUUUUCAAGACCAUGUAAUGAAAUACUUGACUUCUAUGAUAUCAAUUGACUUGGCCUUUGUGCAAA